rnacentral:rRNA from 1 species
CUCGUAGGCGGUUCGUCGCGUCCGGUGUGAAAGUCCAUCGCUUAACGGUGGAUCCGCGCCGGGUACGGGCGGGCUUGAGUGCGGUAGGGGAGACUGGAAUUCCCGGUGUAACGGUGGAAUGUGUAGAUAUCGGGAAGAACACCAAUGGCGAAGGCAGGUCUCUGGGCCGUUACUGACGCUGAGGAGCGAAAGCGUGGGGAGCGAACA